GACGAACGCUGGCGGCGCGCUUAACACAUGCAAGUCGAACGGAAAGGCCUGCUUUCCCUUGUGGAUUGCGGGUACUCGAGUGGCGAACGGGUGAGUAACACGUGAGUGAUCUGCCCCCAACUUGGGUAUAAGCCUGGGAAACUGGGUCUAAUUCCCGAUAGGACUGCAGGGUGGUGCCUGUGGUGGAAAACGAUUUUCUAGUGGUUGGGGAUGAGCUCGCGGCCUAUCAGCUUGUUGGUGGGGUAAUGGCCUACCAAGGCGGCGACGGGUAGCCGGCCUGGGAGAGUGGACGGCCACAUUGGGACUGAGAUACGGCCCAGACUCCUACGGGAGGCAGCAGUGGGGAAUAUUGCACAAUGGGCGGAAGCCUGAUGCAGCGACGCCGCGUGGGGGAUGACGGCCUUCGGGUUGUAAACUCCUUUCGACCGCGAGGAAGCCACCUGGUUGGAAGGGUGGUGACGGUAGUGGUAGAAGAAGCACCGGCUAACUACGUG
rnacentral:rRNA from 1 species